rnacentral:rRNA from 1 species
GACGAACGCGGCGGCGUGCUUAACACAUGCAAGUCGAACGUGAUUUUUGUGGAAAUUCUUUCGGGAAUGGAAAUGAAAUGAAAGUGGCGAACGGGUGAGUAACACGUGAGCAACCUACCUUACACAGGGGGAUAGCCGUUGGAAACGACGAUUAAUACCGCAUGAGACCACAGAAUCGCAUGAUAUAGGGGUCAAAGAUUUAUCGGUGUAAGAAGGGCUCGCGUCUGAUUAGCUAGUUGGAAGGGUAAAGGCCUACCAAGGCGACGAUCAGUAGCCGGUCUGAGAGGAUGAACGGCCACAUUGGAACUGAGACACGGUCCAAACUCCUACGGGAGGCAGCAGUGGGGAAUAUUGCACAAUGGGGGGAACCCUGAUGCAGCGACGCCGCGUGAGCGAAGAAGGUUUUCGAAUCGUAAAGCUCUGUCCUAUGAGAAGAUAAUGACGGUAUCAUAGGAGGAAGCCCCGGCUAAAUACGUGCCAGCAGCCGCGGUAAUACGUAUGGGGCGAGCGUUGUCCGGAAUUAUUGGGCGUAAAGGGUACGUAGGCGGUUUUUUAAGUCAGGUGUGAAAGCGUGAGGCUUAACCUCAUUAAGCACUUGAAACUGGAAGACUUGAGUGAAGGAGAGGAAAGUGGAAUUCCUAGUGUAGCGGUGAAAUGCGUAGAUAUUAGGAGGAAUACCGGUGGCGAAGGCGACUUUCUGGACUUUUACUGACGCUCAGGUACGAAAGCGUGGGGAGCAAACAGG